rnacentral:rRNA from 1 species
AGAUCGCAGUCUGCAACCCGACUGCGUGAAGUCGGAAUCGCUAGUAAUCGCGGAUCAGCAUGCCGCGGUGAAUACGUUCCCGGGCCUUGUACACACCGCCCGUCACACCAUGAGAGUCGGGAACACCCGAAGUCCGUAGCCUAACCGCAAGGGGGGCGCGGCCGAAGGUGGGUUCGAUAAUUGGGGUGAAGUCGUAACAAGGUAAC